UACGAAGGGUGCAAGCGUUAAUCGGAAUUACUGGGCGUAAAGGGUGCGUAGGCGGUUCGUUAAGUCUGUUGUGAAAUCCCCGGGCUCAACCUGGGAAUGGCAAUGGAUACUGGCGAGCUAGAGUGUGAUAGAGGUUACUGGAAUUCCCGGUGUAGCGGUGAAAUGCGCAGAUAUCGGGAGGAACACCAAUGGCGAAAGCAGGUAACUGGACUAUUACUGACACUCAACUGCGAAAGCUAGGGGAGCAAACAGG
rnacentral:rRNA from 1 species